AGUGAACGCUGGCGGUAGGCCUAACACAUGCAAGUCGAACGGCAGCACAGUAAGAGCUUGCUCUUACGGGUGGCGAGUGGCGGACGGGUGAGGAAUACAUCGGAAUCUACUUUUUCGUGGGGGAUAACGUAGGGAAACUUACGCUAUUACCGCAUACGACCUACGGGUGAAAGCAGGGGAUCUUCGGACCUUGCGCGAUUGAAUGAGCCGAUGUCGGAUUAGCUAGUUGGCGGGGUAAAGGCCCACCAAGGCGACGAUCCGUAGCUGGUCUGAGAGGAUGAUCAGCCACACUGGAACUGAGACACGGUCCAGACUCCUACGGGAGGCAGCAGUGGGGAAUAUUGGACAAUGGGCGCAAGCCUGAUCCAGCCAUACCGCGUGGGUGAAGGAGGCCUUCGGGUUGUAAAGCCCUUUUGUUGGGAAAGAAAAGCAGCAGGUUAAUACCCCGCUGUUCUGACGGUACCCAAAGAAUAAGCACCGGCUAACUUCGUG
rnacentral:rRNA from 1 species